AUGAACGCUGGCGGCGUGCCUAAUCCAUGCCAGUCGAGCGAACAGAUGAGGAGCUUGCUCCUCUGACGUUAGCGGCGGACGGGUGAGUAACACGUGGAUAACCUACCUAUAAGACUGGGAUAACUUCGGGAAACCGGAGCUAAUACCGGAUAAUAUAUUGAACCGCAUGGUUCAAUAGUGAAAGACGGUUUUGCUGUCACUUAUAGAUGGAUCCGCGCCGCAUUAGCUAGUUGGUAAGGUAACGGCUUACCAAGGCAACGAUGCGUAGCCGACCUGAGAGGGUGAUCGGCCACACUGGAACUGAGACACGGUCCAGACUCCUACGGGAGGCAGCAGUAGGGAAUCUUCCGCAAUGGGCGAAAGCUUGACGGAGCAACGCCGCGUGAGUGAUGAAGGUCUUCGGAUCGUAAAACUCUGUUAUUAGGGAAGAACAAAUGUGUAAGUAACUAUGCACGUCUUGACGGUACCUAAUCAGAAAGCCACGGCUAACUACGUG
rnacentral:rRNA from 1 species